rnacentral:tRNA from 1 species
GGCUCCAUAGCUAAGUGGACAGAGCGCUGGUCUCCUAAGCCAGAGGUCGCGAGUUCGAUCCUCGCUGGAGUCG